CUUCCAGUAGCACCUUAGAGACCAACUAAGUUUGUUAUUGGUAUGAGCAUGUACACCAAUAACAAACUUAGUUGGUCUCUAAGGUGCUACUGGAAG